rnacentral:rRNA from 1 species
UACGAAGGGUGCAAGCGUUACUCGGAAUUACUGGGCGUAAAGGGUGCGUAGGUGGUUUGUUAAGUCAGGUGUGAAAUCCCUGGGCUCAACCUGGGAACUGCAUUUGAUACUGGCAGACUCGAGUCUGGUAGAGGGUAGUGGAAUUCCGCAUGUAGCGGUGCAAUGCGUAGAUAUGCGGAGGAACAUCAGUGGCGAAGGCGGCUACCUGGACCAAGACUGACACUGAGACACGAAAGCGUGGGGAUCAAACAGG